rnacentral:rRNA from 1 species
AUUGAACGCUGGCGGCAGGCCUAACACAUGCAAGUCGAGCGGUAACACAGAGAGCUUGCUCUCGGGUGACGAGUGGCGGACGGGUGAGUAAUGUCUGGGAAACUGCCUGAUGGGAGGGGGAUAACUACUGGAAACGGUAGCUAAUACCGCAUAAUGUCGCAAGACCAAAGAGGGGGACCUUAGGGCCUCUUGCCAUCGGAUGUGCCCAGAUGGGAUUAGCUAGUAGG